GUUAAAUGUUUACAUUAUUUCUUUUUAAAAAACAAUGUUUUGAAUAAGGUUAUAGUGAACAUGUUUGUGUUUAGAUCUUUAAGAUCCUUCCAGUUUGCCAAAUUGUUUUUCCAGAAUGCUGGUCCCCGUUUGUACUCUCACCAGGAAUAAAUGAGAAUGAUUUUUUAACACCAAAACCAUAUUGUGCCCCAUCAGUAACAAAGUAGCUCUCCUAACAGGGCUGUCCUUCCUUUCCUGGUCUUUCAAUGAACAUAGGUUGAGCGUUGGCUCAGGCUUCAGUUUGUUCCAGGGUCUCGAGGUAUCUAACAUGAGCUCCCUGGAACUUCCGACCCAGCUGAGACUAAGUGAACUUGUCUGGUCACCAGAUGUGUGGCAAUGGUGGCCUUUUGUUUUGAUUGGGGUUUGUGGGCGAGCUUAUAUCCUGCUUUCCCCAGGAGCAUCCCAGGGUCAAAACGCUCUUGAAAAACACCCGGUGUUUAUUUGCUCAGAUACAGAAAACAAAUACAAGCGGAACCAGAGCUUUUUAAAAACAGUGCACAAAGCCAAAGUAAAUCUUACUAAUAACCUCAUCCAAGUGUUGGGUACCUAUUAAGAUAGUUAGUAGCAUAACUGAGCCAGAGAUUUUUGAAGGCAAAAGUUCCCUCCUUUGUGAGCUGAGUCUACAUUUUCUUUGUUCUGUUGGAAUGAUUGUUUCAGACAUUUUCAAAAUUUUUUUUAGUUCUAAGUUGUCAUAAUACCUUUAUUUUAUUUUUAUGUGGUACUAAGGAUUGAACCUAGUGCCUCAAGUGUGCUAGGCAAGUGCUGUACCACUAAGCCACAACCCCAGCCCCUCAGAAAUGUUCUUUAAUAUAUUGAUCAAUUUAUGCUAAGAUUACCAUUUUAUCAGCAAAAUUCCAAUUGUGGGUGACUUUUUCCUCUAUUUAAAGCACACACUUAACUAACAUGAUGGCUCUUCUAUUCUUUCAAAUACCUAGGCAAAAGUAGCUGAGAGUCAGCCUAUCACAUGUGGAACAGCCAACAAUGUCUUGGGCACGUUAGACAAUUCAGGCACCCUGCUAAGUCCUGUUUUACAGGCAACAUCUGAGAAGUCUGAUGCUCAGUGGGUUAAUUGCCCAGAAUUACACAGCUUAACAUUUCAAUUCAGGUUUCAUGACUUACCAGCUUCUGUUCUUAACCAUUAACCUCUCUAAUCACUAUGACAUUGCAGUUUAGUAAUCCUACAUAUGAAAAUCACUUCCCUGGAAAUUUUGAGUUUUAAUUUAAUUAUACACGACUUGUUUAAAGGGCACCACAAAAGAGAACAUCCGUAUCCCACCAAAUAGUAAUUAAUUCUCAGUCCUUAUUUUACUUGGCCUGUCUGCAGUGCUUGACCCAUGUGUCAUCCUCUCCUCCUGUGAACGAGUGGCGUCCAGGGUUCCUGCUCUCCCAGGUUUCCUCCUACCACACUGGGUGACCCUUCCCAGCCUCCUUUGCUGGUUCCUCCCCAAUCUCAUUGCCACUUAAUAUGGAAGUGCCCUAAGGCUCAGCUCCUG
rnacentral:lncRNA from 1 species